CGAAUGCUGACAUAAGUAACGAUAAAGCGGGUGAAAAGCCCGCUCGCCGGAAGACCAAGGGUUCCUGUCCAACGUUAAUCGGGGCAGGGUGAGUCGACCCCUAAGGCGAGGCCGAAAGGCGUAGUCGAUGGGAAACAGGUUAAUAUUCCUGUACUUGGUGUUACUGCGAAGGGGGGACGGAGAAGGCUAUGUUGGCCGGGCGACGGUUGUCCCGGUUUAAGCGUGUAGGCUGGUUUUCCAGGCAAAUCCGGAAAAUCAAGGCUGAGGCGUGAUGACGAGGCACUACGGUGCUGAAGCAACAAAUGCCCUGCUUCCAGGAAAAGCCUCUAAGCAUCAGGUAACAUCAAAUCGUACCCCAAACCGACACAGGUGGUCAGGUAGAGAAUACCAAGGCGCUUGAGAGAACUCGGGUGAAGGAACUAGGCAAAAUGGUGCCGUAACUUCGGGAGAAGGCACGCUGAUAUGUAGGUGAAGUCCCUUGCGGAUGGAGCUGAAAUCAGUCGAAGAUACCAGCUGGCUGCAACUGUUUAUUAAAAACACAGCACUGUGCAAACACGAAAGUGGACGUAUACGGUGUGACGCCUGCCCGGUGCCGGAAGGUUAAUUGAUGGGGUUAGCGGUAACGCGAA
rnacentral:rRNA from 1 species